ACUAGUACGAUUUUCAAUGUAAAUAAUAACGGCCAACUGUAGACGGCCGUCUUAUUGUACACGAUACGUUGUUUAAACGGUGGCUCCCACCGUCAACGUCGCCGUCCGAUUACCUCUGCACAAUUCAAACUCUUUCAAAUCUGAAUUCAAUAGUUGAUUUCUUCAAAUCAAUUCUCCAACGUUCUGUGCAUUUGUUGAAGAAUUUACAGCAAUUUCGAGUUUGCGUGAAAAGUCAAUGGAGGAGGUGAUCACCAUCGCCGACGCGGCGUACCACGCUACCACGGCGGCAGUGACACCGUCGUCUUCGGCUCCGGUGCUUCCGUACAGUGUGCCGCUGUUGUCAGCGUUCCUUGCGUUUGCGAUUGCUCAAUUCCUCAAGGUUAUUACUACCUGGUAUAAGGAAAAGAAAUGGGAUCCUAAAAAGAUUGUGGGCUCAGGUGGAAUGCCUUCAUCUCAUUCUUCAACUGUUGUGGCACUUGCAGUAUCCAUUGGUCUACAUGAUGGCGUUGAAUCAUCAUCAUUUGCAAUUGCUGUUGUUAUGGCUUUUAUCGUUAUGUAUGAUGCAUCUGGAGUCAGACUCCAUGCCGGUCGCCAGGCUGAAGUGUUAAACCAGAUCGUCUGUGAAUUUCCUCCGGAGCACCCGUUAUCCACAUCCAGACCUCUACGUGAUUCUCUUGGGCAUACUCCAUUACAGGUGAUUGCAGGGGCCAUGUUAGGAAUCAUAGUGGCACUUAUGAUGAAAGCAUCUGAGUAGCACUAUAUGUGUUGGCCAAGGUGGAUGAUGCAAGCGUUCAAUUGCUUUUGGCUUUUGAGAGAGAGACAAGAAAGGCAGAAAACCUCAUCCCCAAAUACCCAUUUCAUCGCCUCCCUUUUAGAUCUGAGACCUACAACGCUCUCUCCUUCAAAUUCAUGUCCGCCACCGCUACAAUAACCACCGCUGAAACCAGUUGCAACCAUCUUCCAUCGAUCUUGCCGCUAGGGUUCAACCAUUUCCCACCGCUGAAACAGUUGCAACCAUCUUCCAUGGAAAAAAAUGAUGUUCGUACCCCAAGCAUGUGCUGCUUAUGUGAAGGACAAUUGGGUCCUAACAAAUUUUAGCCAAAACAGGAAUCGGUAGUUGGUGGUGUACAAACAAUGCAUAGAAUAGUAGAGGACAAGUUUCACGAUGGAUAUGUUAUGCAGGGAAAACUUUACAUAUACGACUUUUGGAUGACGUUAUAAGCUCCAUCAAUGGAUGGUAUAUGGAGCGUGGCCUUUUUGGCUUGGUUAGUGUUUGAUCCCAUUGUUAUUUGCUCUUUCUGUAAUUGCAGUUUUGUUUGACUCUACACCAUUAAUCAUGUAAAUGUAUUUUGAGUUCAUUAGGUUUCAGGGGUUGAGUUUCAUUGUGGGGGAAUUUUGAGGUUAGGCUAACAAUAUAUCCAUAUGCUUUCUCAAUAAAACGUACGAGUAAAUCUUUGUUUAUGCUAUUUAUUUAGACAUUGUGUUUGUUUUCUUAAUUACAUUUUGUUUGUAAUUUUUUACUAAGUUUUUAGCAUGUUUAUUAACCAACUAUAUAUUAGAGGAAGCGAUUUUAUCUGCCAACGCCUUCUCUAGAGGUGACAAGAUUUUGCAAUUUGGGUAAUGAGUCAGAACACGUUGUUCGGCUGGUUCGACCCACAAAUUUGUAUGUUUUUUAGAUAAAUAACUGAUGUGUACUUAUGAUCCCAAAUACUAUAUUUCAUACAAUAAUGAUGUAUGUAUUAUAAGUAGACCUCACACUAUUUUCAACCCUAUUAUCUGCCAGCGCCUUCUCUAGAGGUGACAAGAUUUUGCAAUUUGGGUAAUUUCGGCUGGUUCGACCCACAAAUUUGUAUGUUUUUUAGAUAAAUAACUGAUGUGUACUUAUGAUCCCAAAUACGAUAUUUCAUACAAUAAUGAUGUAUGUAUUAUAAGUAGACCUCACACUAUUUUCAACCAUUUUUAACCCAUUCAUUCUAUCUAAGAAAUAGAUGUGACUUGUAACCCUUAAUUCUAGCAUUUAAUCUUUUUUCUACAAGCCUUUAUUAAAAAAAAAUUACUUUAUUCGCUUUUCGUGAUUUCGGUUUAUGCUUAGGUAUUUCUAGGGCUAGCUGUUUAAGGUUCAUAUAACCUUAUGAAUCUUGAAUGACUCAAUUUGGUUAAAGUCUAUCGGGAACAAGUUAGGAAUGGCGCCUUCGACUGAAGAACGGGCCGCUGAAGCCAAGUUUAACGAGGAUGGAAAUACAGGUUUGAAGAAUCAGGCUAAGUAAGGUUAGGCCUUUUAGUUGUUCCACCUCUUAUAUAUGCGUUCAUUGGUAGCUCGAGAGAUAUUGCAAUGGGCCCUGUGGCAGUGGUCUCUCUGUUGCUUGGAACUUUGUUACGAGAUGAGGUUGAGCCAAAAACACCUGAAUAUUUAUGUCUUGCUUUCACUGCAACAUUCUUUGCUGGAGUCACUCAAGCUGCACUCGGGUUUUUCAGAUUGGGUUUUCUGAUCGAUUUUCUGUCACAUGCUGCGAUUGUGGGGUUCAUGGGAGGAGUGGUUGUUACCAUUGCGCUUCAGCAACUUAAAGGGUUGUUAGGGAACAAGGAUUUAAAAAAAAGACUGAUUUAGUUCAUGACCAACUUACUAAACUAAAACUUGUGUUCAUAAAAUAGAAAAUGGAAAAUAGUACUGACAAGUGUGAAAACAUUAUUAUUUUAAAUUAUUUGGUUUCAUGUUAUUUGGAUUUUUUUUUUUUAAAUCAUACAUCAUAUUUUUUUAUAUAUUUUAAAUUUAACUUUUUUAAGCCCGUGUGUCACACGGGAUAUAAGCUAGUUAAGUAUAUAAAGUCUACGUUGUGCUUUAGUGGUCAAUCUAAUAUAUAAGUUGGUACAUGUUUUUGUUAUUUUCGUUUUUUUUUUCUAGAUUCGUUAAGAAGGAUCGUGCUUGGAAGCUUUGAUGCCCCGUUUUGUCUUUGUGGUUGAUGAGUCUACAUCAUACCCCCCACCAGAACAAACAUUUUUGAAGAUCUUGUGAGCAUAAAAAAAAAACAUUUUUGGAAGGUUGUGUAUUGAAGGGUAUUCGGUCGGUAAGGGUGGCUCUUAAGCCGUCUAACACUUAUCCAAUAAUCCACACGUCUUGAAAUACGCCCAGUACUCUUCAGAGCAAAUAUAAAGAGAUGUCAUAUGUGGUCAAUGAAUGCUCUGAGUGACGCCUCUAUGUGUUGAAUCAUAUUACCACGUUAAUAAUGAGUGCAAUUCAAAUAGUUUUUAUCAUAUGUAUAUGUUUCAAGUUCAAGUGAUAAGUAUAUAA